GAGCGAGGUCUGCUUCGAGACUGCUUCAAGAGGAUGAUCUGCUUCGAGACUCUGAACCCGCCGUGCCUGCUGCUGCCGUGCGACCAGGCACCCGAGAUCUUCGACAUCGCCGACCACUUCGCUGGGUCAGGCAGCGUCAAGGACCCGCCCAGGAUCCCCAUCAUAUGCAAGCCCAACGUCGACGCCAUGGAGCCGGCCCUCAAGAUCGCCAACGUCAACCCAGAUCCGUGCGCUACCUCCCUUUGCCGCCGGAUCCCCGUGAGGCAUGCUCAGAUCCGUCCGCCAACCGCUGGCGACGAUGCGUACGGCGCCACCACAGCCGUGCUCGAGCGCCUCCACCCCAACCCGCGCGCGAGCUACUAAACCCACGCCCCCACCCCAUUCGCAACACACAUUCCGGUAGUCCUCCUAGCCGACGUCGUUUCAAACCCGGGAGGAAAGCCCCACACGCCGGCGCGGCCGCGAACCCCGGCCGAUCGGCGCCGAUGAGAGGCGGGAGGCGCGGGACGGGGAGAGUGCGGCGGGGAGGCGGCGCCGCCGCCGCCGCUCCGCCGCCGCGGGGCGAGCGCGCCGCCGGCGUCCAGUUCAUCGAACUCAGCGACGGUUCGUGAUACGGGGCGCCUGUGCGUGAACUCUUGCUUUUUAUUUCUCCUGCAUUUCGGUUUAGAUCGGGCGUCCAGGCGAUUUUAGCUUGAGGUUUGGCACGUAGCUGUAGGCUGUUGGUUGGAAGUUUAGGCGAGCUUUCGAGGUACUCGUUUGGUCGGGGUUGCAAAUGACCGGCAUUUGCCAUGCAUACGCGCGUACCGGUCAAUUUCGUUUUCGAGAGCGCAUCGAUUGGUAUUUUUCCCGAUCCGAAACAAAUUGCCCCCCAACCUUGUGAGCUGGAUUUUUCUUUGCUUUUUUUGUGGGCUAACACUUCUUCGGUCAGUUGCAGUGUUGAUCACUGUGUCAGAUGCGAAAUUUCGUUCGGAUUAUCACUUUUUUUGCAAUUUUAUUUUACAGAUGAUGUGAAGUCAGCAACGCAGCAACCACCGAAAGGAGAAAUUGCGGAGGGAUGCGCGGCAGAUGAUUUCAACGCGCCCCCAUGUGAUUCCACCAAGGAAGUUUCCACAAAGAACCUGGGACGUCUUAGAAAGCGAACAGCUGCUGGCGGUGCUGCAACUUCUGAGUUGCAUGAGGAUGAGCUAAAGGUUGCUGAUGUCAAGCUGAGCAAUGAUGAAGACUGGUCAUAAUGGGGAGUAUCAUAAUGCGUAAAAUGACGAGCGUGAUCGAGGCGUGGCGCCUCCUGGACUCCGUCCGUCGCCGCUUUGGCGACGACGUCCCCGCCGCUGGGCAGGAAGAGUGUUUCCACGCCUUCAACCUCCAUGUCCACGAUGUCGUACUCGAUGCCCACCUGCAAGGUCAGCCUCCCAUCCUCCCGGUCCUUCCCAGCAAAUUAAUCUGGACUUCAACCAUGAAUUAAACGUCCUGGUCUCUAAUGGGAACUUUUUUGUUACUGAACUUCGUAAUUGGUUUGCAUAAAAUCUGAGGUCUGUCUGACAUAUUUUACUUGACCACGGUUCGCUUCAGAAUUCUACUUUAUGUGAGCAUUACUUUCUUAGUCUAUCUGAUUUACUUGGAGGAGUAUUUAAUUACACGUAUGUGUAGUACAAGUUGUUAUUUCCUAAUAAUUUUGAUGGCCUCUAAGCAUCGUUGUUCAUGUCUAUUAUUAUUUAUGAAAGCUACAUGUCUUGGAGGGAAGUUGCGACUUGAGGGAGUGAGCUCCCAUUCUCUCAAUUUCUUGGCAUGGCCAUGCUUGCAGUACUGAUAAGACAUGCUUCAAAAAUGGAGGAGGGAGGACGUGAGCUGCUGCCUUGGUUCCUGUCCGCACCAGCUGCCACAGUAUGUAAUCAGGCCUCCACUAUCGUCCUCUGAAUUUUGGAUUACAUGCAUCUACAAGAGCGUGAGAACUUGAGAGGGUAGCACAGUGCUACGUAGAAGUUAUUUUUCUCCAUGAAGUUGAUCAUGCGAAGCUGGUGCCAGAUAGAAGGUUAAUUGAGUUCUCAUCUCCAAAAUGUUUGCAUUCUAAGUAUCCUCUUUGAUUCAGUGGUUCCAUGAUGCUACAGUUCACUUGUUUUUCACCUCUUGAUGCUACUAUGCACAGAAGGUGUUUGCUAAUUUGCACAUUAAAAUUUUCUGAUAAACUAUGCCAAUAUCACAUGCAUAUGUAUUUUUUAGUGAUGUUCGAUUAUUAAUCCAUGUUACAAUAGAACGUGCCCACAUAACAAGUUUUUCCGCAAUCUUCGCAAGCAAGUAUUUGUUUGUUUAACUGCAGGUGGAAUAACAAGAUCCACUGUGUGUGUGCAAUGGCAACAAUAAAUACUCUAUUGGGCAUCAAAGUAGACGACAAAGGAUGACAAACGAUUAAGUUCUGCACCUUAGUCCACUUACAACUUAUAAGUUGAUUGAUACUUUUCAUUUUAUAUUGAUGUGCUUCCAAUGAGAACAAUUUUUUCACCGGAUGUGUUUCAUUACAUAUGCCAUUUUAUUUGUGUGAAGUCUUUCAGACUUUCUUUUGAUUCUUUAUUUUAACGGCCUGAAAAAGGAUUAUAAGUAAUGUUGGGUUCCUGACAGGACAAAGGUAGGAAGAGAAGCAAAUCACAACCUUUAGGUUCAUGGUUUAGGAGCAGGAAAGUACAUGUCCAUCUUUGUGGUAUUCUCAUAUGAAUAAGCAUAAUACUACGUACAGAAUCUCUCAAUUGUGUAGACAGGUCAUCAAGUAAUGGUUAGUAAUUCAUAAUUCUGCUUCACCUUUAUGUUAAUGAUCCGCUUUUAAGUGUUUGUUGCCAAAGUGAGCAUCAAAUUGCAGGAAUCUCAAUAUUUGUUCUAUAUUUCUCGCAAGGCUCUUGUACGGUAGAUAUUUUUGCUUGGUCAUAAAUGAAUUAGUCCCAUGCUCUGACAGUAAGAUAAUGGAGCUAGGUGGACGAACAUCGGCAUUGAUGCCAAGAUUAUCUGACAUCUUGUUGUACUAGUGUCUUAAUUGGAUAUGUUUACAGUUCUAAAAUCAAUGUUCAUCAGCAUCCAGCCUUCUAACUAAAAAGUAUUUUCGCAAGGGCUUCUCUGCACCUGUACGCUCUCUCGCUGGUACGCGAUUUGAGGCAUAGGAGCGAGGGGCAUGUUGCGAGGUCGUCUUCGGUCACGGCUACAACUUAUGACGAGAAGGGGAUUUAUGCUUAGUAGGCUGUCGUGUGGUUAGCAAGUCAUUGUCGCAGUCUCCGCCUCCCAGGUUGCCUCGGCUUGCUGCUGGUGUGUGUUGCUGCAACAGCCCCUUCCGGCCACCUCUGAGGUUGGGCAAUGUGGCCACUGAUGUCAAGGGUGUCGCCAUUUUACUUGCAAAGCACAAAUUGCACCGCACACAACAUCUUGCUAUGCAUGGCCACUGAUGUCAAAGAGAACCAAGUGCCUUGACGUACUAUAUAAAGAGAUCAUGUGAAAACAAAGCUGAAGUUCUUGAUCAGGAUGAGAAGGAAAGUGGUCUUCGAGCAACACUAAUCCUGGGUCAUACAUUUGGUCAUGUACAUAAUAUCUUCGAGCGUUGUUGUUUUUAUGUUGAGUUUAUCUGUCUUGCAUUACGAUGGUCCAUGUAAACUUAUUUGGAUGAAUUGACAGCCCAGUAAGAAGUUUGCUUUAUUUU